UGGGGGAUAUUGCACAAUGGGCGAAAGCCUGAUGCAGCGACGCCGCGUGGGGGAUGAAGGCCUUCGGGUUGUAAACUUCCUUUGCUUUGAACAAGGCAUGCCUUUGGGGUGUGUUGAGUGUAGGGGUUGAUUAGCGCCGGCUAACUACGUGCCAGCAGCCGCGGUAAUACGUAGGGCGCGAGCGUUGUCCGGAAUUAUUGGGCGUAAAGGGCUUGUAGGUGGCUGGUUGCGUCUGUCGUGAAAGCUCAUGGCUUAACUGUGGGUUUGCGGUGGGUACGGGCUGGCUUGAGUGCAGUAGGGGAGGCUGGAAUUCCUGGUGUAGCGGUGGAAUGCGCAGAUAUCAGGAGGAAUACCGGGGGCGAAGGCGGGUCUCUGGGCUGUUACUGACGCUGAGGAGCGAAAGCGUGGGGAGCGAACAGG
rnacentral:rRNA from 1 species